CUGCGCCGCGUGGCUCGCCCCCGGGACUUGCCAGCAGCGAGUGGGGCCUGACUAGCUCUUCACCACGCUCCACUGCAUCGGCAAGGGCUGGUUCUGGGAGAGGCGCAAGGGCAUCGACCUCCGCACCAAUCAGGUGGUGGUCAUUAGGGCAGUGGACCCGGAGGAGGCCGAGGACGCCCAGCAGGAGAACCCUGCGCUCAGCUGUGCUACAGCCCCGAGUCACCGCUGCUCUUGCUGCUCUCUGUGAGUUUCCCCCGGAGGCCCAGAGCGGCGGCAGCGCGCAAGACUUGCAGAACUCGGGCCCCCUGGAGGAGACCUAACCGCCACGGUCUUGGGGAGGUUCCGGAGGGCCUCGGUUGUCUGCACUCCCAACACCAAGAAACCCCUGAGACGCGAAGCUGCCAGCGUGCUGCCCUCAGAGCAGGGCGACGCAAAGCCAGCGGACCCCGGGGUGGCGGGGCAGCCCACAGACACGCAGGUCGACUGGAACAGUUCUUGGCAGCCUCUUCUGGAGGGCGUCUGAGGUCGUCAGCAGCGGCCUACGACUUCAAGGCAGGCUUCUGACCCCUGGGGAUCACGCCCAUCGGACUAGCCAAGGAGGAGCCUUCGCACUCCGACCUGCACCGCAUGCGCGCCCAGUUCCUGAUCCCCAAGAGCAGCCCGUCUGAGCUGGAGGACCGCGGCAAGCCCUUGGAGGAGCUGGCAGGCCUGGCCCGACGAGGACCCCGCGUCCUGACACUGUCAAGGAGCUCCGGGAGCGCAAGGCGACCGCGCGCUCCGCCAACACCUUUUCUUCCGGGGUUCAUGGGCGCUGCCGGCGCUGGAAAUCCCAGGGGCA
rnacentral:lncRNA from 1 species